CGACACGCUGCAUGUACGGACAGACUUUGGCACCACCCUGUGUCAAAACCAACCACGACCGACACGCUGCAAUAAUGGAAUGGAAUUCUUUGAACAAGAUAGUUUUGUUUCAUCAUUGCAUUGUCAUUAUCAUCAUAUGAUGUCACAAUCAAAGUUGCCAAGCAACAUAUCAUCUGCCCAGAUGUGGUUGUGGUUGCAGUCAGAGCUGUAUUCAGUAAGGGCUGUUGCUGCUGUCCUGUUGUUGCUGUCUGCGGAGCUCAUUGGGUGGUGUACUGUAACAUGGCAGCUAUGCACUGGGAAGCACGGCGCAGGCAGAACGUGGCUGAUCACCGCUUGACUAUCACUCAUAAGAAUGUGAAGGGACCAGCUCCUACGGUAGAGAGCCAACCUGAGGCGCCAACCAUGCCAGUCCUUCCCCCUGAGCCCAAAGUGCUGGACGUGCCACUGGGUAGGGUAUCUCAUCCCUUGGUAGAGGUUAUGAACGUCCAUGCAAUGAACUGAAUCUAAAUUCUUUAUAACUCUCUGCAUUACGUUAUCUUCCUAGCAGGUAAAAGUGUGCACUGCAAGUGUGUGCGCACAAACAAAGACAACUACAGUGGCAAGAUUGACAACAGAUACUCAGUGAGUUCAGUUCUUGCAUCGCACACUGUUGAGCUAUGCGGACAACCUUAGCCUAACAUGUCCAUUGUACUGCUAUAGGACCUCAUGACCUCAGCUUUCAAUCUAAGAAACUGAGAGUAGAGCACUGCUCAUUUAUUUGACUAAUCAUGUUAUGAUGGCUGACAGUGAAAUUGGACAACAUCACGUAACCUCCAGUGAAAAUAGAUUUAUUCCAAAAGGACAAAACCAAAACUUUACGUCAAUGACUUCGGAUGAAUGAAGAUGGCUGUUUGAUGUGUUUCAGUCCGUACAGUACUCCCAGCAGUGGUAGCUGCAACCACUCCUAGAUUACAUCUAGAUUAGUAGCUGUAACCAUCAUGCACUGGAGCAGAGAGAACAGCCCUCACAUUGGAAUGCAAUUAACAGCAACAAGGGCAAUAAACCCCUAACAAAACAAACAUCACACGUCAGUGUCUUCAAAGAGACUUUUUUUAAAAGCUGGUAAUGAUCUAGGUAUUUCAGCCAUGCCCCUAUUAACUCAAACGUUCUAAGUGUGCAAAUAGUCAUCAGUCCACACCCAGUCCAGGAAAGAUGUCACUUCACUGCAAAAUUCCUCACAGUCAAAUCAUGGCAACUCUUAGGAAAUGUUAUUUACCCUCUUAUAUAAGGUUAAUGGAGGUUAAUGGAUUUACAAGGCAAUUGCAUAUUGAACAUCAAUGGAGGAAACCUUCAAAUACACAUAACAUACAGUACAUGGCCAAAGGUAUGUGGACACGUUCGACGAGCAGAUGUUUGACAUCUCAUUCCAAAUCAUGGACAUUAAUAUGGAGUUGGUCCCCCCUUUGCUGCUGUAACAGCCUCCAAUGGAAGGCUUUCCACUAGAUGUUGGAACAUUGCUGCGGGGACUUACAUUCAGCCACAAGAGCUUUGGUGAGGUCGGGCACUGAUGUUGGGCGAUUAGGCCUGGCUCGCAGUCUGCAUUCCAGUUCAUCCCAAAUGGUGUUCGAUGUGGUUGAGGUCAGGGCUCUGUGCAGGCCAGUCAAGUUCUUCCACACCGAUCUCAACAAACCAUUUCUGUAUGGACCUCACUUUUCAUGCAGAAUCAGGAAUGGGCCUUCCACAAAAUGUUACCACAAAGUUGGAAGCACAGAAUAGUCUAGAAUGUCAUUGUAUGCUGUAGCGUUAAGAUUUCCCUUCGCUAGAACUAAGGGGCCUAGUCCGAACCAUGAAAAACAGCCUCAGAACAUUAUUCCUCCUCCGCCAAACUUUACAGUUGGCAUUAUGCAUUCGGGCAGGUGUGCUGAAAUCCGCCAAACCCAGAUUUGUCCGUCCGACUGGCAGAUGGUGAAAUGUGAUUCGUCACGCCAGAGAACACAUUUCCACUGCUCUAGAGUCCAAUGGCGGCGAGCUUUACACCACUCCAGCCAACGCUUGGCAUUGCGCAUGGUGAUCUUAGGCUUGUGUUCGGCUGCUCAGCCAUGGAUAUCCACUUCAUGAAGUUCCCAACAAACAGUUAUUUUGUUGAUGUUGCUUCCAGAGUCAGUUUUGAACCCGGUAGUGAGUAUUGCAACUGAGGACAGACGAUUCUUACGUACCACGCGCUUCAGCACUUGCCGGUCCCGUUCUGUGAGCUUGUGCGGCCUACCACUUCGCAGCUGAGCCGUUGUUGACCUAGAUGUUUCCACUUCACAAUAACAGCACUUACAGUUGACCGGUGCAGCUCUAGCAGGGCAGAAAUUUGACAAACUGACUUGUUGGAAAGGUGGCAUCCUAUGACAGUGCCACAUUGAAAGUUACUGAGCCAUAUGGGCCAUUCUACUGCCAAUGUUUGUCUAUGAAGAUUGCAUGGCUGUGUGUUCAAUUUUAUACACCUGUCAGCAACGCUGUGGCUGAAAUAUCCUAAUCCACUCAUUUGUAGGGUUGUCCACAUACUUAUGGACAUGUAGCGUAGCUUGACGGAUUUAAUUUGUAUUAUAAAUCAUGAUCAUAUAUCUCAUAUACACUGAUUGACUUUUAAUGAUGAAAUCUACACUGAGUGUAAAAAACAUUAGGAACACCCGCUCUUUCCUUGACGUAGACUGACCAGGUGAAUCCAGGUGAAAGCUCUGAUCUGUUAUUGAUGUCACUUAAUCAAUCCACUUCAAUCGGUGUAGAUGAAGGUGAGGAGACAGGUUAUAGAAGGAUUAUUAAGCUUUGAGACAAUUGAGACAUGGAUUGAGUAUGUGUGCCUUUCAGAGUGUGAAUGGGAAAGACACAUUUAAGUGCCUUUGAACAGGGUAUGGUAGUAGGGGCCAGGAGCAUCAGUUUGAGUGUGUCAAGAACUGUAACGCUGCUGGGUUUUUCACACGCAACAGUUUCCCGUGUGUAUCAAGAAUGGUCCACCACCCAAAGCACAUCCAGCAAACUUGACACAAACUGUGGGAAGCACUGGAGUCAACAUGGGCCGACACCUUGUAGAGUCUAUGCCCCGACAAAUUGAGGCUGUUCUGAGGGAAAAGGGGGGGUGCAAGUCAAUAUUAGGAAGGGGUUCCUAAUGGUUUGUACACUCAGUGUAUGUUUUAAAUCCCUACAAUUAUGUUAAAACCACCAACAUGUACUUUCACAGUUCAUAAAUCAUUCAAAAAACUACCUCAGAAGAAUAUUGCAAAGAAAAUAAUGUGAACAGAGCAUAGGACAAUACUAUAGUCUACUACAAUACUAUAUGUAUACAUUUCCCUUUGACAACGAAAAAUGUAUCAAUAUAUUUUUUAUGACCUCUGGACAUAAGAUAGAAUGGAAGAGGCCCUAUUCCUUAGAGUCUAUCUUGUUCAUAAUAAACCUUUUCACUUUGGGGAUCCCUCAUUGACAGGCU